rnacentral:lncRNA from 1 species
UAUACAAUAUCAGAACCAGAAAGGAUCAUAGACAUCAUGUUUUCAAGCUUAAUACCCAUUGGAAUAAUCUGGGAAUCUUUAUAGAACUGCAGUGCUGAACGACUUGAUUAUAAAUGUGAUUUGGAAGAAUUUUAACAAGCAAUAAUAAGCAAGAAAACCCUGAGAUGGAAGAGCAAUGAAUGGCGGGAUUUAUUGUUAAAUGAAAAAAGCAACAUGGAGUAAAUUGCUAUAGUACACAGGAUGCUACAGUUUACCACAAGGUUCACUGUGUAUAGUUUACUGUGCAGUUUACUAUGAAGGGAGCCCCCAUAAAAUGAUGGACCUGUGGCCAUUAAUGCUGAUCAAUGACCAGAAA